rnacentral:rRNA from 1 species
GACGAACGCUGGCGGCGUGCUUAACACAUGCAAGUCGAACGCUAAAGCUCAGCUUGCUGGGUGGAUGCGUGGCGCACGGGUGAGUAACACGUGAGUAUCCUGUGCUCUUCUUUUGGGUAUCGCCUGGAAAAGGGUGCUAUAACUGGGUAUUCACUGAUUUUCGCCUGGGGGGUGGUGGAAAGGUUUUUUCUGGUGGGGGUUGGGCGCGGGGUCUUGCAGCUUGUUGGUGGGGUGUGGGCUUCCAAGGGCUUUGACGGGUAGCGGGCCGGGGGGGGUGACCGGUCACAGUGGGACGGAGAGUCGGCCCAGACUCCUACGGGAGGCAGCAGUGGGGAAUAUUGCACAGUGGGCUAGAGCCUGAUGCAGCGGCGCCGCGUGAGGAAGGGGGGCCUUCGGGUUGUAAACCUCUUUCGCACAUGGUCAAGCCGCAGCUUGGAGUGGUGGUGAGGGUAGUGGGUAAAGAAGCGCCGGCCAACUACGUG